CCUGGCUGAUUUGCAUAACCAGCAGGUCUCUCCAGCAAGGGGAUAAGAGAGACUUUGCCCAGUCUUGGGCCUUGGUAGCAGAAUCAGAGUGCCUCCACCAUGGCCUGGACCCCUCUCCUCCUCGGCCUCCUCGCUCACUGCACAGGUUCUGUGGCUUCCUAUGAGCUGACUCAGCCCCCAUCAGUGUUAGUGAACCUGGGACAGAUGGCCAGGAUCACAUGUGGAGGAAACAACAUUGGAAAUAAAGAUGCUUACUGGUACCAGCAGAAGUCAGGCCAGGCCCCCAUGCUGAUUAUCUAUGAGGACAGCAAACGGCCCUCAGGGAUCCCUGACCGAUUCUCUGGCACCAACUCGGGGAACAUGGCCACCUUGACCAUCAGCGGGGCCCGGGCCGAAGAUGAGGCUGACUACUACUGCCAGGUGUGGGACAGCAGUAGUGAUGCUCACGGUGACACAGGCAGAGGGGGAAGUGAGACGAAAACCCCUUCCCCAUUUGUGUUACACUUUCCUCUAGCUCCAGAAGGCCUGUGCACAAAGCAAUGCAGAAGAUCUGACAGAGGUGUCCAGACCCAAGGUCCCCAGACCUCCCUAUGCACCCACCCUUCAGGUGGUUGAUUUGUAGAUCCUGAG